rnacentral:rRNA from 1 species
UACGUAGGUGGCAAGCGUUGUCCGGAUUUACUGGGCGUAAAGAGCGCGCAGGCGGUCGUGCAAGUCGCGUGUGAAAGCCCCCGGCUCAACUGGGGAGGGUCACGCGAUACUGCUCGACUCGAAGGCAGGAGAGGGAAGUGGAAUUCCCGGUGUAGUGGUGAAAUGCGUAGAUAUCAGGAGGAACACCGGUGGUGUAGACGGCUUUCUGGACCGUAACUGACGCUGAGACACGAAAGCGUGGGUAGCAAACAGG